CACGUAGGGCGCAAGCGUUGUCCGGAAUUAUUGGGCGUAAAGAGCGCGCAGGCGGUCGUUCAAGUCGAGUGUGAAAGCCCCCGGCUCAACUGGGGAGGGUCACUCGAUACUGAUCGACUUGAAGGCAGGAGAGGGAAGUGGAAUUCCCGGUGUAGAGGUGAAAUUCGUAGAUAUCGGGAGGAACACCAGUGGCGAAGGCGGCGAUCUGGGUAGAUACGUGACGCUGAGGAGCGAAAGCGUGGGGAGCGAACAGG
rnacentral:rRNA from 1 species